CGCCCCGCCCGCCGCCUUAAUCCAGAGCCCCGCAAUGCCCUGCUGUCCGCGGCUGCUAGGCACCGGAAACUGAAGCCCCUGGCUACAGCCUGAGACCGGAAGCGGAAGCGCCGGACGGUGCAGAGGAAGGAGUCGCGGGGUGGCUCACUGAGCUGUGUGUAGUUUUCUCCGCGGGGGACUGGGUUCACGUGACAAGUUAUCUCUGGAGUUCAAGUUUGAGUUGAAACCAGCCUCAAAUUUCACCUGUCCUCACUGACCCGUGGAUUUCUGUGUGACCAGGUUUUGUCGUUCUGGAAUUCAGGAGCAGCUUAGCUGGAAGGUUCUGGCUUGGGACUUUCAUGAAGCUGCAGGAGGUUAUCAGCUGGGACUGCAGUCAUCUGAAGGCUUGACUGGUGCCGAAGGGUUCACUUCCAAGGAGGUUCCCUCACAUUCUGGCACAUCAGUGCUGACUGUUGGAGGGGACAGUUCCUUUCCAAAUCAGCCCUGAUUCAGUGUGGCUGUGAAUACCAGGAAGCUUGGAUCAUUCAAGCUAUUUGGGAAGCUGAUAACCAUAGAGGGAAAAGG